GAUGAACGCUGGCGGCGUGCCUAAUAUAUGCAAGUCGAGCGAACAGAUGAGGAGCUUGCUCCUCUGACGUUAGCGGCGGACGGGUGAGUAACACGUGGAUAACCUACCUAUAAGACUGGGAUAACUUCGGGAAACCGGAGCUAAUACCGGAUAAUAUAUUGAACCGCAUGGUUCAAUAGUGAAAGACGGUUUUGCUGUCACUUAUAGAUGGAUCCGCGCCGCAUUAGCUAGUUGGUAAGGUAACGGCUUACCAAGGCAACGAUGCGUAGCCGACCUGAGAGGGUGAUCGGCCACACUGGAACUGAGACACGGUCCAGACUCCUACGGGAGGCAGCAGUAGGGAAUCUUCCGCAAUGGGCGAAAGCUUGACGGAGCAACGCCGCGUGAGUGAUGAAGGUCUUCGGAUCGUAAAACUCUGUUAUUAGGGAAGAACAAAUGUGUAAGUAACUAUGCACGUCUUGACGGUACCUAAUCAGAAAGCCACGGCUAACUACGUG
rnacentral:rRNA from 1 species